CGGGGCAGGCCGGGAAGGAGGGAACGGGGCCUGGCGCGGGAGCGGCGCCCGGAGUCGGCGGGAUCGGGACUGGCACCGGGACCGGGACCGGCAGCGGUGCCCAGGGCCCCGCGCCCGAGCUGCGUCACCGGAGGAGGCACGGCCGCUCCGGUAUCCUGGCGCCGGGCCGGGCUGGGCCGGGCUGAGCCGCCGCGCCCGGAGGCAGCCUCUUUGUGUGUGAAAUGCUGAGGAUGCUGCAUGCUUUACUAUUUGAAGGGCUUAAUGAAGCAGCUUGGCCAUCUCUUGCAGUAUAGGAGGAUGUAGGGAGGCUUACAUUUCUCUUUUCAAUGCUACUGAACUUGGCUAUCUUAAUUUUUCUCUUGAUGAUCACUUUUACCCACCACUCUUUUAAACAGAAAUCUUCAGUUCGCAGGUUCACCUGUGUUAUGACAGGAUAACAUCUCAAGGUAUUGCCCAGAAUGGAAGGGUUUUACAGGAGUAUCUGGCAUCCUCUAAUUUAGCAGUAAAGAAGCCUACACGGGUGUUGUGUUUCCUGGUACCUGUUGACUCCCUGCUUAGCUUUUGAACAUGGAUCAGAUUAUAGAAGUCCCAGCUCUCUAGUCACUUAAAAUAUUUAUUGGCUUGUUAAAGAGAAGCACAUCUGCUGCUGUGAAGCCAGGAUUUGGUUUAGAAUUCUGUCACGGGACUCUACUAGUCUGUCUUUAGCAGAAGACACUAUAAAGCUAAUUUUACCAUAGAAAAGAGGUCAUAGGAAGGCAGUGGAAACAGUGCAGUCCUCAUUCAGAACAGGUAACCAUAUUCCUUUAGAGCAUUCAGGUAUUUCUUGUGAAUUAUCAGCUGUGAAAAAAGGUUAGUUUGGGCAUGUUAAAGCCUCAUUAAGAUGGUUUGGCAGUCCCUUAGGAGGAACUUGUAUGGCAGGAUAACUGUGUGAUGUCUCACACUGUGAGCCCAAAAGGACAUUGAUACUUAGAAAGUGGGAGUUUUGGGAAAUGGUGGGUGGAAAUACUCUCUCAAGCCAUGUAAUUAAAAUGAAACGAGCUGCCACAGGAGAUGAUCCAGCAAGAUUCAAAGCAAGCGGAUAUUUGUGUGAACAUCAGCACGGCAAAAACACUCUUGAGAAGAGAUUAAACGUGUGACUCAGGGUUCAAACUGAUCUUUACAGCAAUGAGAACUGGCCUUUUCUGUGUUACAGGAUACCAAAAUUUGUGUUUCACAGUGCCUUGUGCUCUCCUCAAGUUCACUGGUGCUGAAUUAGGGAGAGGGGGCUGGACUGGCAGGAAAGGGAAUAUGGAAAAUCAUCUUGCUGAUGGUGUUGCUGUGCAGGGAGAAGUUCCAAAGUCCCCUGCUGUACCCUGCUCCCCACGGAGCACGUCCCUCUACCCGAGCACAGCUUCAGCUCCGUGUGUGAAGUGUAAAAACCCUGUGCCGGCACAUGGCGCCUUCGGAGCUCGGAAUGUGUGUUUGGGCCAAAGAAAAGGCUCAGUUGGCAGCAGUGGGCUUCCUCCUGCCAGAGGAUUUGGGCUCCAGUCACACUGAGACAUUCGAGGAGCAUGUUUGCUUCACAGAGAAACUGAAGGGGAAAUGUGUAGUUGUCAGACCUCUGCCCAUUCCCACAGUGGGAUCCUGACUGCUCCUUGAAGGCCAUUCCUCAUGCUUUAGGAUUUCCUCUCAACUCUUUUUCCUUGAGCCUUGCAGAGCCCUUAGCUCUGUGUUUAUACAACAUGUAAACCAAAGUGCUCCAGAGUGAGUUCCCUGCUUGUGCAGAGCUGAUGUGGGCCGGGUUCACAGUGUCUUGGGCAGCUGUUUGCAGGAUCUGCAGCUCUGGGCUGGGUGGGCUUUAUUCCAGUUUCAGAUUAAUUUCAGCAUCUGGCACUUCUCAGUAAUCGCAGGAGUCUUCUUUGGGUUUAUAUCUUACUAUUGCCCAUUUUCAGUGUUUGCUGUUUCUUUUGCCUUUCUGAAGGGAAUCAAUUCUGUUGGAUAGGUGACCAGAGUUAAAAGAGAAGCAGCUCCCAGGCUGUGCUGCUCCUCCAUCCCCAGCGUCUGGGAGCCAAUCUGGCUGUCCAGGAGCACUCCAGACUUGCUGUUCUCACUGCAGACACUCCAGCUGACAGCAACAGGGAUUCAUCUGCUCCCAAUCCCCACAGAAACACAUGGGAAUGAACCUUGUGUUUGAUCUGGCACAGUGCAGCACUGGAGAGUGGCAUGAGACAUUCCUCCAGGGAUGAAAAUGCACAGCCACAAGUAGUCAAACCCAGUUUUGGGAAGUUGAACUGUAGAUUAUCCAUACCAGUAAUCCCAGUGUGGCUACAUCGGGUUUCAUAUAGAUUGAGGAAUUGGAGUAUUAUGGUUUCUAUAUUGGCAUAAAGAAAUUCAGGCAUAAAUACCAUUACUCUUUUUCUGGCUGGCUUGAAAAUUCCACUGCACUCUCACAAAUAGGGAGGGAUGGCCCCGGUUGGUUUUGUGGGUUUGUUUUCCUGUUUUAUUUAAACUACAGAAAUCUGGUCUCCUCAGUCCUGGAGCCAGCUGGAACAGCAGGACACUGCUCCUCCUUAUAAAGUGCCAAUCUCACAUUUUCUAGUUUGUCACAGCGAGACUUUUGAUCCUAUCAAAUAUUUUGGUCAGUAUCCUCAAGGAAGGGUCCCAGGUUACUUCAACUGGAAGUUCCAUACUUGGGUCACAGGGUACUGAAAGCUCCGUGUAUCUCCUGGAGCAGGGAUUGCAGCUGACAGAUUUAUGGCACGUGGAAAUUCUUCUUAAUAGGGAUAAAGGAGAAAGUUUUCAGAUAGAGAAUUUCUUCAGAGAUAUGUGUGCACACGGAAAUGGGUCCUGCUGAGAGCUCGGGACCUCCAAAACCACCACAUGAACCAGCAUUGUUCAAUCCAGCUUUCUCUGGUCUGCAAACUGUAAACAGGGGCAGUAAAUAGAUUUAUAGAGAAGAAAACCUUUUGUACUUUCUGUAUGUUCUACUGCAGAACCCUCACUCACAAGCUCUUCUGUCCUGCAGGCUUUGGAUUUCCCACUGUUGCUGUGUUUGCAUAUAUGAAAAUGUAAAAUGAUAACAUUUAAUAAAAUCCACAAACCAUUA